UCUGCAAGUACUCUAGGCCUGAAUCUGUUCAUGCUGAAAGAAAAGGAAAUGUGACCAGUAACUUCAAGGGCAGAAGGAAGAUGAGUCAGCUUCCUGCUGGGAAUUCACCACUCAUUUCCCUCUCUACGUCCCAGCAAUCAGCCAGGAUCACCCGGAACUUAUUCCCUUGCUCCCAGUUGUACCUCUACAUGCCACCAUGCUGUUAGUGUGUUUGCAUUGGUACAGCACCCGGAUUCUUAUUGGAGGGAAUAUUUGAACAAUUACAGGUCUGUUCAUAGCCCCGUUCUGGCCUGGGGCUAAGCCAGGGGGCUGUUUGAGGAUGGUGGUGUUUGGAGCCUGCCAGCUGACUGGUACCAGUGGGAUCAUACUGGAACAGACGGAAAGACCAGCAAGCCUAGAGGAUAAGGUAACAGCUGAGAAGCUCCCCCUGCACCCAGAGUGUAAAAACUGAGGAGUUUUUAGUGUUUUGAUACACCUUACACACCAGACGGCAUAAGUCCAAGCUCCACCAGGAGAUCUCCCUCUCCUCAGCUGUCCCACUUCCAGGGACAUUCAUGGGGACCAAAGAGCUGGCAGUGCCUGAGCACUGGUUGGGAAAGGGGACUGUGUGUGCCUGAGUGGCCUGGAAAGUUGGACAUGGGUCCAGAUGUCACAGCAAAUAGGUUUGGAACCUUUUGCAUGAGGGUGGGUUGUCACAGCUUCCCAACUCCAGGAGAGCAAUGAUCCCAGCUCUUGUGGCCAGCACAUCUUCAGAACACAUUUGAUGACAUUUUCUUCGGUUUUUAAGCAACGUGGACUACUUUAAAUGGGGAAAACAAACAAACAAACAAAAAAGAGUUUUUUGGGAAACGAACAAAGAGUUUUUUGGGUACCAUUGGGGUCACUCUCUUCUUCUCCCCCAACACCCACUUUUCCUUCUUCAAUUAAAAUAAAGGAAAAAGACAUACCAUUUAAACUUUGCCUACUUGAUAAAAAUUCUACCUGUGCAAAUUCCUGGAGCUCCUGCUUUUUUGUGGGUUUAUUCUCUAUGAAGACAUAUCUUUCUCUUAAUGUCACAUUGAUUGCUUGGCCACAGCUGGGAUUUUAGGGCUUCUGCAAGGUGUGGGAGCAACAGCAUGAUCUGAGGGGACCCAACCUGUCCCUCAGCACCUUUCUGAGCUGGGGCAAAAGUGUGUGCAGAAGUUGUCU